UACGUAGGGGGCAAGCGUUGUCCGGAUUUAUUGGGCGUAAAGAGCGUGUAGGCGGCCAGGUAGGUCUGCUGUGAAAACUCGAGGCUCAACCUCGAGAUGUCGGCGGAAACCAUCUGGCUAGAGUCCGGAAGAGGAGAGUGGAAUUCCUGGUGUAGCGGUGAAAUGCGCAGAUAUCAGGAGGAACACCGGUGGCGAAGGCGGGUCUCUGGGCCGGAACUGACGCUAAGGAGCGAAAGCGUGGGGAGCGAACGAGG
rnacentral:rRNA from 1 species